rnacentral:rRNA from 1 species
UACGUAGGUGGCAAGCGUUAUCCGGAUUUAUUGGGCGUAAAGCGAGCGCAGGCGGUUGCUUAGGUCUGAUGUGAAAGCCUUCGGCUUAACCGAAGAAGUGCAUCGGAAACCGGGCAACUUGAGUACUGGAGAGGCAGACGGAAUUCCUAGUGUAGCGGUGAAAUGCAUAGAUAUUAGGAGGAACACCAGUGGCGAAGGCGGCUUACUGGACUGUAACUGACACUGAGGCUCGAAAGCGUGGGGAGCAAACAGG